rnacentral:rRNA from 1 species
GACGCAGCCUGAUGCAGCCAUGCCGCGUGUAUGAAGAAGGCCUUCGGGUUGUAAAGUACUUUCAGCGGGGAGGAAGGGAGUAAAGUUAAUACCUUUGCUCAUUGACGUUACCCGCAGAAUAAGCACCGGCUAACUCCGUGCCAGCAGCCGCGGUAAUACGGAGGGUGCAAGCGUUAAUCGGAAUUACUGGGCGUAAAGCGCACGCAGGCGGUUUGUUAAGUCAGAUGUGAAAUCCCCGGGCUCAACCUGGGAACUGCAUCUGAUACUGGCAAGCUUGAGUCUCGUAGAGGGGGGUAGAAUUCCGGGUGUACCGU